rnacentral:rRNA from 1 species
CUUUUACAAUGAAGAGUUUGAUCCUGGCUCAGGAUGAACGCUAGCUACAGGCUUAACACAUGCAAGUCGAGGGGCAUCAGGAAGAAAGCUUGCUUUCUUUGCUGGCGACCGGCGCACGGGUGAGUAACACGUAUCCAACCUGCCCUUUACUCGGGGAUAGCCUUUCGAAAGAAAGAUUAAUACCCGAUGGCAUAAUGAUUCCGCAUGGUUUCAUUAUUAAAGGAUUCCGGUAAAGGAUGGGGAUGCGUUCCAUUAGGUUGUUGGUGAGGUAACGGCUCACCAAGCCUUCGAUGGAUAGGGGUUCUGAGAGGAAGGUCCCCCACAUUGGAACUGAGACACGGUCCAAACUCCUACGGGAGGCAGCAGUGAGGAAUAUUGGUCAAUGGGCGCUAGCCUGAACCAGCCAAGUAGCGUGAAGGAUGAAGGCUCUAUGGGUCGUAAACUUCUUUUAUAUAAGAAUAAAGUGCAGUAUGUAUACUGUUUUGUAUGUAUUAUAUGAAUAAGGAUCGGCUAACUCCGUGCCAGCAGCCGCGGUAAUACGGAGGAUCCGAGCGUUAUCCGGAUUUAUUGGGUUUAAAGGGAGCGUAGGUGGACUGGUAAGUCAGUUGUGAAAGUUUGCGGCUCAACCGUAAAAUUGCAGUUGAUACUGUCAGUCUUGAGUACAGUAGAGGUGGGCGGAAUUCGUGGUGUAGCGGUGAAAUGCUUAGAUAUCACGAAGAACUCCGAUUGCGAAGGCAGCUCACUGGACUGCAACUGACACUGAUGCUCGAAAGUGUGGGUAUCAAACAGGAUUAGAUACCCUGGUAGUCCACACAGUAAACGAUGAAUACUCGCUGUUUGCGAUAUACAGUAAGCGGCCAAGCGAAAGCAUUAAGUAUUCCACCUGGGGAGUACGCCGGCAACGGUGAAACUCAAAGGAAUUGACGGGGGCCCGCACAAGCGGAGGAACAUGUGGUUUAAUUCGAUGAUACGCGAGGAACCUUACCCGGGCUUAAAUUGCAGUGGAAUGAUGUGGAAACAUGUCAGUGAGCAAUCACCGCUGUGAAGGUGCUGCAUGGUUGUCGUCAGCUCGUGCCGUGAGGUGUCGGCUUAAGUGCCAUAACGAGCGCAACCCUUAUCUUCAGUUACUAACAGGUCAUGCUGAGGACUCUGGAGAGACUGCCGUCGUAAGAUGUGAGGAAGGUGGGGAUGACGUCAAAUCAGCACGGCCCUUACGUCCGGGGCUACACACGUGUUACAAUGGGGGGUACAGAAGGCAGCUAGCGGGUGACCGUAUGCUAAUCCCAAAAGCCUCUCUCAGUUCGGAUCGAAGUCUGCAACCCGACUUCGUGAAGCUGGAUUCGCUAGUAAUCGCGCAUCAGCCACGGCGCGGUGAAUACGUUCCCGGGCCUUGUACACACCGCCCGUCAAGCCAUGGGAGCCGGGGGUACCUGAAGUACGUAACCGCAAGGAUCGUCCUAGGGUAAAACUGGUGACUGGGGCUAAGUCGUAACAAGGUAGCCGUACCGGAAGGUGCGGCUGGAACACCUCCUUUCU